rnacentral:rRNA from 1 species
ACGGGUGCGGAACACGUACGCAACCUUCCUUCAAGCGGGGCAUAGCUUUCGGAAACGAAAAUUAAUACCCCUAAGUAAUGUCUGAGGGCAUCUGAGGACAUUUAAAGAUUUAUCACUUGAAGAUGGGCGUGCGCCUGAUUAGGUAGUUGGCGGGGUAACGGCCCACCAAGCCUACGAUCAGUAACUGGUGUGAGAGCACGACCAGUCACACGGGCACUGAGACACGGGCCCGACUCCUACGGGAGGCAGCAGUAAGGAAUAUUGGUCAAUGGACGCAAGUCUGAACCAGCCAUGCCGCGUGGAGGAUGAAGGUCCUCUGGAUUGUAAACUUCUUUUAUCGGAGAAGAAACCCCGACUUUCUAGUUGGGUUGACGGUACCCGAUGAAUAAGCACCGGCUAACUCCGUGCCAGCAGCCGCGGUAAUACGGAGGGUGCAAGCGUUAUCCGGAUUCACUGGGUUUAAAGGGUGCGUAGGCGGGUUGGUAAGUCAGUGGUGAAAUCUUCAAGCUUAACUUGGAAACUGCCGUUGAUACUAUCAAUCUUGAAUGUUGUGGAGGUAAGCGGAAUAUGUCAUGUAGCGG